AGCUUUAUGCUAUUACACAAAGUACCUCCUGCUCAGUGAAUAUCAACAGCCGCAGAAUUUUACACUGUGCAAAGGUAGCAUAAUCACUUGUCUUUUAAUUAAAGAAUAGAAUGAACGGAUAAACGAAUUUCAGCCUGUUUCGUUUUUUCACAAUAAAACUACCAAAAAGUAACAACACUUUUUUCCAAAAAAAAGACGAUAAGACCCUAAAGAACUUCACUUAAGUUAAGCUGGGGCGGCUUUUUAAAAAAAUCUUAUUCUAAAUUUAUCCCCCCUCACUAGAUUUCCAAUGUUACCUUAGGGAUAACAGCAUAAUUUAAUUUAAUAGCUCUUAUUAAAAAUUAAGAUUAUGACCUCGAUGUUGAAUUAAAAAUCUUCUAAACGAAAAAAAUUAGCAAGAAAGUCUGUUCGACUUUUAAUUAUUUACA
rnacentral:rRNA from 1 species